AACGAACGCUGGCGGCAGGCCUAACACAUGCAAGUCGAGCGCAUCUUCGGGUGAGCGGCGGACGGGUGAGUAUCGCGUGGGAACGUGCCCUUCUCUACGGAAUAGUCCUGGGAAACUGGGGGUAAUACCGUAUACGCCCUUUGGGGGAAAGAUUUAUCGGAGAAGGAUCGGCCCGCGUUGGAUUAGGUAGUUGGUGGGGUAAUGGCUCACCAAGCCGACGAUCCAUAGCUGGUUUGAGAGGAUGAUCAGCCACACUGGGACUGAGACACGGCCCAGACUCCUACGGGAGGCAGCAGUGGGGAAUCUUAGACAAUGGGGGCAACCCUGAUCUAGCCAUGCCGCGUGAGUGAAGAAGGCCCUAGGGUUGUAAAGCUCUUUCAGCUGGGAAGAUAAUGACGGUACCAGC
rnacentral:rRNA from 1 species